UGAUCAUUAGUAGCAAAUUCAAAUCAUCAUGGGUAUUUAAUAAUAAUAACGUAAUUAAUCGAAAGUCAAUCAAAUUCGUGACUUUGUACCCACGUAAUUUUAUUGCUGAUCCAUUUUUCUCAUUCUAAUUCGUUUUAUUAUUACCAUCGUAAUGUAAGCCAUGUUUUAACUUUUGUAAAAAUACGUUUUAUUAUAAUACAUCGUUAAAAUUUACUUCGAGUGCGUUAAUUCCAAUAAAAUUAAACACUCUGAUUUUUACUCAAACGCGUUCAAGAUGCAGGCGUCAAAAGUUAUCAGUGUAUUUUUAAUGUUACCGUGCUUUUUCUUUUGUGUAACAGCUUUAGGCCUAAACAUAACUGAAGAUCAAUAUGCCGCUUUCAAAGGGAUAGAUCCUUUAUCAAAUUGCAACAAUCCUGAAGCUAUGAAAACCAUGUGCACUAACCUAGGUAAACCGGUUGAUGCCUCUGGCUUUACAAGAGGUUAUCCAGCCUGCGAAGACGGCAACAUGUUGUUAAUAAAGCGUGGCGGAGGAACAUUUGUAAUAAGAGUUCAAUUUUUAAUUUGUAAGUGGGACGUAGGGUAUGGAGCUAAUGUAUAUUAUGUGUGCGGUAAAGGCCAAUCCCCAAAUCACGUGAUGUUCUAUGUAUCUGAUCGUAAUGGAGAUUACUACGCUCAAUUCGAUGCAACCUACCCAUAAUUGCAAGUUCGGAAUUCAUUGCUCGCAAAAUAAAUGUUUUUUUUUGUAUAAACGAUUUCGGUUUAUCAAAUGUAAUUUGUAACUACUUAAUAAAACUCUAGGAUAAUUUA